GCUGGAAAACUUAAGCAUAUCAAUAAGCGGAGGAAAAGAAACCAACAGGGAUUACCUCAGUAACGGCGAGUGAAGCGGUAACAGCUCAAAUUUGAAAUCUGGCUCUUUCAGGGUCCGAGUUGUAAUUUGUAGAAGAUGCUUCGGGUGUGGCUCCGGUCUAAGUCCCUUGGAACAGGGCGUCAUAGAGGGUGAGAAUCCCGUAUGUGACUGGCUGCCUCCGCCUAUGUGAAGCUCUUUCGACGAGUCGAGUUGUUUGGGAAUGCAGCUCAAAAUGGGUGGUAAAUUUCAUCUAAAGCUAAAUAUUGGCCAGAGACCGAUAGCGCACAAGUAGAGUGAUCGAAAGAUGAAAAGCACUUUGGAAAGAGAGUUAAACAGUACGUGAAAUUGUUGAAAGGGAAGCGCUUGCAAUCAGACUUGCACGUUGCCGAUCAUCUGGGGUUUUCUCCAGUGCACUCGGUUGCGUUCAGGCCAGCAUCGGUUUGGGUGGUUGGAUAAAGGCCUUGGGAAUGUAGCUUCUUUCGGGGAGUGUUAUAGCCCAAGGUGCAAUGCAGCCUACCUGGACCGAGGACCGCGCUUCGGCUAGGAUGCUGGCGUAAUGGUUGUAAGCGACCCGUCUUGAAACACGGACCAAGGAGUCUAACAUCUAUGCGAGUAUUUGGGUGUUAAACCCAUAUGCGUAAUGAAAGUGAACGGAGGUGAGAACCCUUAAGGGUGCAUCAUCGACCGGUCCUGAUGUCUUCGGAUGGAUCUGAGUAAGAGCAUAGCUGUUGGGACCCGAAAGAUGGUGAACUAUGCCUGAAUAGGGUGAAGCCAGAGGAAACUCUGGUGGAGGCUCGCAGCGGUUCUGACGUGCAAAUCGAUCGUCAAAUUUGGGUAUAGGGGCGAAAGACUAAUCGAACCAUCUAGUAGCUGGUUCCUGCCGAAGUUCCCCU
rnacentral:rRNA from 1 species